UACAUUCGGCAACGCACCAGCUGUCAUGCCGCCUCACUGUUGUGUGCCCAAAUGUUCGUCCUCAAAGAGAAAAAAAUCCUACCGUGGACAGACUUUCCACCGUUUCCCCAAAGAGCAGGCACUUCGCCGUGAAUGUAUAAAUCACAUCAAGAGGGAUCCUGGUCCAUAUUUCAAGAUCAACGCUGAGACCAAGGUUUGCUCUGAGCACUUUGAGAAGCAGUGUUUUGUAAAGACCGCCCGUGGUAUCACAAAGCUUAUAAAGGAUGCCGUGCCACUUUGUUCGCCUGGACUUCAGAGAGGCCAAAGAGGAGAAUCAUCAUUCGCAGACCGAGAGAUGAUGACCCAUUCCUGAAGUUGGACGCCAGAAUGGAGGAAGGUGCUGUUUAAGAGCCUAGGCGGUGGAAGAAGCACUUGCAGGUAUGCUACUAACCAGGCUCCUCAACAUCAAUCCGAGACGGAAGAUGAACCGGGAUGAAGCGGUUAGAUUGAGACAAGGCGGCCGGAAACUUUGAUGACCUCAAUGACACUGGCU